GAUGAACGCUAGCGACAGGCCUAACACAUGCAAGUCGAGGGGCAGCAUGAAAUUAGCUUGCUAAUUUUGAUGGCGACCGGCGCACGGGUGAGUAACGCGUAUCCAACCUGCCCCUCUCUUUGGCAUAGCCUUUCGAAAGAGAGAUUAAUUCCGAAUAACAUAGUUAGAUUGCAUGAUAUGACUAUGAAAGCUCCGGCGGAGAGGGAUGGGGAUGCGUUCCAUUAGGUAGUAGGCGGGGUAAUAGCCCACCUAGCCGACGAUGGAUAGGGGGUUCUGAGAGGAAGGUCCCCCACAUUGGAACUGAGACACGGUCCAAACUCCUACGGGAGGCAGCAGUGAGGAAUAUUGGUCAAUGGAGGCAACUCUGAACCAGCCAAGUAGCGUGAGGGAUGACUGCCCUACGGGUUGUAAAACCCUCUUUUUGUCGGGGAAUAAACCGCGCCACGUGUGGCGCCCUGCAUGUACCCGCAGAAUGAGACCGGCUAACUCCGUGCCAG
rnacentral:rRNA from 1 species